rnacentral:rRNA from 1 species
AAAAACAUCGCCUCUUGCAAAACUGAGGAAUAAGAGGUCCCGCCUGCCCUGUGACUAUAUGUUUAACGGCCGCGGUAUUUUGACCGUGCGAAGGUAGCGCAAUCACUUGUCUUUUAAAUGGAGACCUGUAUGAAUGGCAUAACGAGGGCUUAGCUGUCUCCUUUUUCAAGUCAAUGAAAUUGAUCUCCCCGUGCAGAAGCGGGGAUAGCACCAUAAGACGAGAAGACCCUAUGGAGCUUUAGACACCAAGGCAGAUCAUGUUAAACACCCCUUCACAAAGGACCAAACCAGAUGAACCCUGCCCUAAUGUCUUUGGUUGGGGCGACCGCGGGGAAACAAAAAACCCCCACGUGGAAUGGGAAUACUCCUUCCUACAACUAAGAGCUCCCGCUCUAAUGACCAGAAUUUCUGACCAAUCAGAUCCGGCAAUGCCGAUCAACGGACCGAGUUACCCUAGGGAUAACAGCGCAAUCCCCUUUUAGAGCCCAUAUCGACAAGGGGGUUUACGACCUCGAUGUUGGAUCAGGACAUCCUAAUGGUGCAGCCGCUAUUAAGGGUUCGUUUGUUCAACGAUUAAAGUCCUACGUGAUCUG